GGCAUUUUCACACCUGAUUGCUGCUGCUGAGUGGCCUCGUUGCUGGACCAGAGAGAACUGAAGGAUCCUGGAGGCUGGCCAGAUUUAGAGAUGAUUGGGCUGAGCUGUCAGGUGAUGUGGAUGGAUGGAUGGAUGGAUGGAUGGGUGGAUGGAUGGAUGGAUGGAUGGAUGGAUGGAUGGAUGGAUGAUGGAUGGAUGAUGGAUGGAUGGAUGGAUGAUGGAUGGAUGAUGGAUGAUGGAUGGAUGAUGGAUGGAUGGAUGGAUGAUGGAUGGAUGAUGGCGGAUGGAUGGCUGGAUGAUGGAUGGAUGAUGGAUGGAUGAUGGAUGGAUGAUGGAUGGAUGAUGGAUGGAUGAUGGAUGGAUGAUGGAUGGAUGAUGGAUGGAUGAUGGAUGGAUGAUGGAUGGAUGAUGGAUGGAUGAUGGAUGGAUGAUGGAUGGAUGAUGGAUGGAUGAUGGAUGGAUGAUGGAUGGAUGAUGGAUGUGGAUGGAUGGAUGGAUGGAUGGAUGGAUGGAUUCAUUUCCAAAUUCAGGGCUUUUAUUUGCUUUGUUUCUGCAAAUGACUUCUAGAACAGAGAGAAGCUGGUU
rnacentral:lncRNA from 12 species